GAUGGGUCGUUGGUCUUUGUGGGAGAUAAUGUGUCAGCCGUGGUAGAAGUUGCUCCCUGAGUAGGCAUGGGCGCCCGCCUAGAUGAAGGGAUUUUCUCAUCUUGAGGUGUCGGGAGGAGUAAAGGAGAUUGACUCUUCUCUGUCAUUAGCCUUUUUAUUGACACUAGCUCUUUAUAUAGUCAAUUUUUUGGAGGAGUAUCGUAUCGGUAGGCACAGAUCAUUGGUAUUGGAUGUAUCGUUAGGUUGUGCCGAGUCAAAUCAGCGGAGCUUAUUUUUUUCCGUUGCAGAAAAGAGAUCCCUUACCCUUUCUUUAGAAAAUGAUGUAUAUGAAGUCCGGGAGGCUGCGGGUACUAUGGAUCCUCUGACUCCCAAUCGGGUUACCUUCCUGGGUCUCGCCGGUGUUGCCUGUAGGUCGUGAUGUGCCUCGAGAUGGCCGUCUCCUGUCCCCCUGCUCGUGGGGAAUCCGCUCCUCGGGCGUCGCUCUGCUGCGUCUGGCCCGUCCUCUAGGCACCUUUGGAGGGCGGGGAGUGUGACAACGUACACGCUUCCCUUUACUCCAUAUAUAUAUAUAUGGAGUAAAGGGAAGCGUGUACGUUGUCACACUCCCCGCCCUCCAAAGGUGCCUAGAGGACGGGCCAGACGN
rnacentral:lncRNA from 1 species